CUCCCACGGCCAUAUCACCCGCGCCGCCGGCCGCUCCUCCCUAGCGCACGCCACCUGCGGCUGCCACGCCAUGGCAGGCACUGAGUCGUUGCGGCAGUACAAUUGCACGCUCCGCCGCUGGUCAUGAGAAGAGCUGCGUGCAGGCCACCCAUGCUCUUUUCCCUGGAUCCGAUUCAGUUGCCUUCCUCUCAUCCUCUCUCUGUUUGCGUGUGUGUAUGAAGGAAGUGAGAGGAGAUAGAACAAGGGAGUGACAGAUCCCCAUUCUCAUGUCUGUGAGAUGUGGGUGUGUGAUUUCCCAAUGUCAAAUCCCACGUUUGUCUUGAUUAGUUGUAGUUUUAUGGAUCUUGUUCUUGUGCAAUGUAAAUCUGUGUAUAGUUCACCUAUUUUCUCUCUAAAACUGUGAGCUGAUAGAGCAGAGAUGAGUUGACGGUGUGGGUUCAGGUAGUGAGAUUUGCAGCUAGUUGUUUACUUGCUUAGGUGGUUGCAAGGGCUUAGUCCAUGAGUUCUAUUUGAUUAUAGUCAGGCCACUAGUUAGUAUUGUGGUACUCCGUUGCAAGAAAAAUGGGUCGUCGGUUCAGUUAUAGGUACCCAACUCUGAAGAUUUUGAAAUUUUAGCAUGGUAUUUUAAGUUUGUUUUUUAUCAUAUAAUGUAAAAUUGUAAAUAUGUUUCCAAUGGUCUUUGCUCCCAGUUCGGAACUUCUUAUUCAGUCUGUUAGUACAGUCGUCGCGGUCGCCACCCCGACGCCUAGCCCGCCAACCUGCGUCGUGUUGCCCCGGGACCCCCGAGCACUGCCGCGCCCCAUCGCCGGUGCCUGACGCUCGAUCCAGGAGGUGCUAGCUCAUACUGGCUGGAACUAGGAUGCAAAAGCGAUGACGGAUCCAUGCCGCACAAGCACUGGUGCUCUGCAUUCUUCUUACUUUGUGUUCUAAUUUGCUUUCUUCUUAUUUUCAGUUUGCGAGAUACAAAAAGAAGUUAAAAAAAUGUUGUGCCUGGAGUUCAUAUUAUUUGCUACCCCAUGAUGUACGUCUAUAGUUUCUCCCUCCAAAUGUGUUGGUCCAUGUGGUUGUUUUUUUUUGUUUUGAAUCUACGAAAAAGGUUAUUAAAGCACAAAUUUGAUAAGCACAUAAGUUCAGAUCUCCGCUGCUACAAACUUCACGUAUACAUCUGUCUGUUUUAAUUGUGGCAUACAAAUUUUGCACUACGAGAAAGUCCAGAGGCAAGAAAGUAGAAAAUAAAGAACACAAAAAUAUCAACAAAAAAUUCACUAGGGGAAAAGUUCAAGUCAGGAUAUGUAAGAAAAGUUCUUAUUUUAUUUCAGUUCAAUUUCAAAUUCUAGUGAAAUUUCAUUUCUAAUUUUAAUUUAGUCUAGUUUCUUAUUUUAGUUUAGUUCAAUAUCUAAUUUUUAUUCAGUUCAAUUCUUAUUUUAGAAAAAAAUUGAAUUGUUACUUUAUCUACAUUCUUCUAUUCAACAUCAGGGAGAAGGUGCCUCAUGUUAAAAGCGUGCCAAGAUUUUCUAAGUACCCCAGACCCAUCCUGGCGCCGCCCGGCCCCAACCUCCAACCUCCCUGGAUCCUGGCACUACCUCCUCCCUGGAUCCCGGCGCCGCACGCUCCUAUCUCCCCAGAUCCCCACGACGCCUAGUCCCCAACCUCUCUGGCUCCUGGCACCGCCAACCGCCAUCCUCUGCCAGCUCCGUUAGCCGCCUCCACCUGUUUCCUCCUGCGGGUCGAACGGUGCGAAUCUGGCCGACGUGGCAGGGCUGUGAGACUCGCCGGGGUCGAGCUCCUCCGCCUCUAGCCGUCGAUCCAUAGUUCAUUGUCAGUACAGGUUCUGAAACUGCCUAGUACAUGUUGGGGGACAUUUCUGGAAUCAUGUAUCCUAGCUAGCUUGCAGCUGUAAUUUUGAUUGCAUAGCAGUAUAGUUUAGUUGUCUCUGAAGUUUUGAUUCACAGCAGUACAAUUUAGUCCCAGCUGCCAUGAUUCUGCAAACCAUUGUGCUCCCAAAAGAUGGUGCUUUGUUGCAACAAGUUGUGGGAAAAAUGCAGUGAAAAAAAUAAAAUGUGCUCCCACAAGUUCAUAUGAUAUAUUGUUGUUAAUUCAAUUUCUUUUAUAUACCUCUACACAUGUUUGUUGAAAUGCUGACACGGAGCUAGACUUGUUUUUUUGUUCAUGUUUCUUGUUUCUUAAAACAACCGGUAUACUACUAUCAAAAUUGAAGCCACAAUAAAGAUCUCAUCUCUAAAUUGAUGAUUCAGCCAUGUUUGCUUGUGUGUACUGCUGAACUGACAAUGUUACUAAACUUGUGUUCUCGCUGAUUCUGAACUGUUGCUGGUAGCAUUUGUGAUGCUCGUCUGAUUUUGGUUGGAAGUUUAAUGAAUCCAUACAUAGUUCAACUUUUAGGAAGUUAAAAGUUCAACGAGUGUCUUAGAGAAAACUUGGAAGUUUUGUCUAUAUAAAAAAGAUAACAAAAUAUAUGUGUUCUGACCUAAGAUGUUCAGGAAAGAGUUCCAGACCAUCCCCGGUCGCCGCGUUCCCGGGAAGCCAUGCGACAGCCACCACCACUGCGAGCAACAACCACCAUCACUGCUAGCUGCCGGUGCAGCGUCCCACCAGCCCCCAUGCGCCUCCAUCCCUCAAGCUCCCAGAUGCGUCGUCGUGAACCCUUUGUUCCCCAUCGCUGCCUCCUCCAACUCCUUUCAUGGCUCUGGAAAAUCACUGAUCAGGUAUGUUCAGUUCAGACCACACUAAAAUGGCCAAAUUAUAGAUAAAUAUUUGCAUUGUCCUAAAUUCUUCCACUCUCUGGAAACAAAGUCGCGGAAUGGAUGUGAUCAGAGUAUACUUCCAUGGUUUUGCAAGAAAUCAUACAAUAAGUGUAUCAUUCACUAUGUAUUUUAUCAUCAGUUAAAAUGUAAUCAUAGAAAAAGUUCAAUUUGUGUUAUUGAAACAGCUCAAUUUAUCGGUAUUGUGGAGAUCAUGCAUGACUAGUAUUUAUGUUCUCAAGAUAUGAGAGAGUGGGAUGUUCGCAUGAUUGUGGCUGGUUGGAGUGUAUGGUCUUGUGGAGAUCAUGCAUGUUAUUUUCUUAUGCACGCUGUAUAUAUAUACUACUAGAAGUUCUAGUACCUAUAUUACUACAAUUCGCUAAUAAAAAAUGUAUUAGUUCAUUGUGUGUAGCACAUGGUUAACACAUAUAAUUACAAAACAAUUACUUGAACUAUACAAGAGCUCAGCUUUUACUUGAUUUACAGUUCAAAUUUUGCGUUAUUUUCAGUACAUCAACUUUAAUGUGCAGAACAUCGAGGAAAUCCUGGAAAAUUAUAUGUGCACUCUACGUAUUUUCUUAUGCUUACAAGAAUUCUGCACUCAUACUGUUAUGCAUCAGUUCAGGUCGCCCGUGGAGUUUUAGAUAUAUGCAAAAUCGGAUUAGAGCACCAUGCUCUCACCCAAAAGUUUGAAAAACCAUUGCUUUCCGUUCUGGUAACAUAUGUUUUUGUUUCAGUUUUGCUAAUUCUUUCUCCAAUGGGCCUUUAUAUAUUAUCUUUCACUUGUCUUACUAUAUGAAAAAAUAUGUGGCCUUUAGCGAGCAAUCUUGCUCAGUUUUCUGGUUAAAAAAACAGACAACAUGGAUUUACCAUGUUCUAUCAAAGAAAGCUGGAGUUCAAAUUCUAAUUUUAGUACAGUGAAGAUCAAUGGGAAAAUGCACAAAAAGUUCAGACUCU